UCCCUGGUGGUCCAGUGGUUAGGACUCUGAGCUUCCAAUACAGGGGCAUGGGUUUGAUCCCUGCUCUGGGAA
rnacentral:tRNA from 1 species